rnacentral:rRNA from 1 species
UACAGAGGGGCAAGCGUUGUUCGGAAUUACUGGGCGUAAAGGGCGCGUAGGCGGCCCGCUAAGUCGAACGUGAAAUCCCCGGGCUCAACCCGGGAACUGCGUCCGAUACUGGUGGGCUCGAAUCCGGGAGAGGGAUGCGGAAUUCCAGGUGUAGCGGUGAAAUGCGUAGAUAUCUGGAGGAACACCGGUGGCGAAGGCGGCAUCCUGGACCGGUAUUGACGCUGAGGCGCGAAAGCCAGGGGAGCAAGCGGG